CUACGGGUUGCUCCAGUGGGGAAUAUUGGACAAUGGGGGAAACCCUGAUCCAGCAAUGCCGCGUGUGUGAAGAAGGCCUGCGGGUUGUAAAGCACUUUCGGUUGGGAGGACUGCUUCUAGCACUAAUAUUGUUGGAAGUUGACGUUACCUUCAGAAGAAGCACCGGCUAACUCCGUGCCAGCAGCCGCGGUAAUACGGAGGGUGCAAGCGUGAAUCGGAAUUACUGGGCGUAAAGCGCGCGUAGGCGGCUAGAUCAGUCGGGUGUGAAAGCCCCGGGCUUAACCUGGGAACUGCAUCCGAUACUGUCUAGCUGGAGUACAGGAGAGGAGAGUGGAAUUCCACAUGUAGCGGUGAAAUGCGUAGAUAUGUGGAGGAACACCAAUGGCGAAGGCAGCUCUCUGGCCUGAUACUGACGCUGAGGUGCGAAAGCGUGGGGAGCAAACAGGAUUAGAUACCCUAGUAGUC
rnacentral:rRNA from 1 species